rnacentral:rRNA from 1 species
CCUUACACAUGCAAGUCGAACGGCAGCGCGGACUUCGGUCUGGCGGCGAGUGGCGAACGGGUGAGUAACAUAUCGGAACGUGCCCUGGAGUGGGGGAUAACUAGUCGAAAGACUAGCUAAUACCGCAUACGAUCUACGGAUGAAAGUGGGGGAUCGCAAGACCUCAUGCUCGUGGAGCGGCCGAUAUCUGAUUAGCUAGUUGGUGGGGUAAAGGCCUACCAAGGCAUCGAUCAGUAGCUGGUCUGAGAGGACGACCAGCCACACUGGGACUGAGACACGGCCCUGACUCCUACGGGAGGCAGCAGAAGGG